GCAAGACCGAGCGUUUUUAGUUGUUGAAUCGAAAAAUACAAUGCGAGCAAGGCGGAAAAAAUUGCGCGAGUAUGUAAGCAUCACCCGAAAACUGCGAGCACAUCGAAAUUUCGGAGGACCAUUCGGGGGCCCUCUGUGAAAGCCAACGCAUCUUAACACCUUUACAUAACCUGUCGUUGAUAAAGACUUGGAGAAUUGGUCCCUAAGCACCCCACCUAACUUCUUUAUUACCGCGCGACUACAAGGUCGUUCUUAUUUUGUGCCUCACUAGUUAUGAAAUUAUUAAACACCUCCGCAGCCCCCAGAGCAUUGUGUGCUUUCGACUGCAGGGGGCUGCGAAGGCCCGUCAAUGAAUUUAUAUGGUUGUUUUGUUAAUACAAAAUUCUUCAAGUUCAAGGCCAUCUGAUCUGUUUUCAAUAAUCUCUACAUUUUUGAUCACCUCUCUGUAUCACAAAUCCAUCCGCCAUUAAUUGUUAAAAAUCAACCAGGUUUCUAGGUUCCAUUUGAAAUAUUUAACUCUUUGUUUAGCUAUCAAGGGAUUCAAUAAAUCUAUAUUGAUUAAUGUUUCCUUCGUGGCGAACGGUUCGGGAGGUUUUUCUGUCUAGGGCUACCUGACCGUAAAGGGCGCCAUUUUUCUUAUCUUUCUAAACCUCAUCUCAAAAGUCUUGAAGCUGAAAGAGUUGUUUGUUUCUUGUUCGGCUCCGUGAUUCUCUCUUGAAGUGAUGUGCUGGUUAUCAGACAACCCGCUUACAGUCAUAUAACGACACUCGAUGUAAACGACAUUUUUGGUAUAAUGAUAUUGAUUUCUGUUCCGUCAACCUUAAAAAAAGUAUGGGGAAUCGAUCUUUUCUUGCAAUAGUCAAUGUUCCACUGUAUCUCGCUUCCACUGCACGUUGUGUGACAUGACGUGUUUAUUCCACGGGGAACCCUAAAUUACCAGUCCCCGUGGGCCAUUGCAUAUCAACACCUGCACUACCUUACAACCUAAAAAUAAUAUCGUAAAAUAAAAGUUUUAAUAUAAAAAAAGAUGAAGAAGUACUCACUAAUGGUGAUUUUUAUCUGUGGAACGGUACACUGGAUUGUUGUAGCUAUCUCUUAAGGUUCGGGCGCUCUAUCUUUUUGGCAUUUGUAGAUUACGUCUUUGCUAAUAAUCAGAGAUUAGAGUGAUAGGAUCUUAUGCUUAGAUGCCCGGCUCAAAGGAUCACCGAUAAUUAGAUUGCUGAAUUGAUGUGGCCGCCUUUUGCCAAUGAACUUCCCUCAAUUUGAUUCUCUUUUUCUUGAUUUAUGAGACCGCCUUGAUGACACCAACGCCAAGAAGCGUCACGAAGGUCAAUUUAAUCAUAAACUAAACACAUUAACGGUUUAUGGUAAAUGCGUGCAUAUGAGAUCAAAUCGUUCAAAACUGGCACAAACAAAUAUCUGGAUUGUUCUAGGCUUCACUUCAGACGUCAAUAAAUAUCUUUGAACUUUUAAAAAGGACUUAAAAGGGGAACAUAUGGAACUAAACCGCAAGUCGAACUCUGAACUGCAGCCUGGCAUGUGGAUAGACAAGAUACUUCUUUCCUUCUCUGGCCAUGAAAACUGUCCUGUUCUUUAUGUUUCUUCUCUUCGAAGGUGGUGAUGGUGUCAUUUGCGAGGUGUGUGGAUGGAAUACUACUUCUAGCACUUACCGACAAUGCAUGGCGAGCCUUGACUUGUAUGACUGCGACAGGAUCGGCAGCACAUAUGACCGCUGCUUCAUCUCUUGUAACACUGCGGGCACAGACAAUUGGGAGUUUGGCUGUACCACUAGCGUUCAAUGCACCAGGAAGGCGAGGUCGUGUAAAAGUGAGAGCUGUCAAUUUGAGUGUUGCCAGGGUGACAUGUGUACGCGUAACAUGACAGAUCCUUGUCGAGGAAGCAAGCAGCAUGCUCCAGCGGUUAUUACCAUCAGCACAUGCGUGGUUUUAGGGUCAAUUUUGUCCUUUUAUGGUCGAGUUUUGUAGUCUUGACUUUUAUUUUACUUCUAAGGACAGUUAGAAUAGCAAUGAAUAACGUUUAUCAAUAGUAAUGUUAUACAAUAUCCAAAUAUCGAGGCAGCUGUACAGGUGUGCGCAUCUCCCCUCCACCCUCCCCCCCUCAGGAAUCCCUCAGGAAAUGACUGGAAGAAGUCUUAUUAAAGACGAAAAUACCA